rnacentral:rRNA from 1 species
ACGAACGCUGGCGGCAUGCCUAACACAUGCCAGUCGAACGAGACCUUCGGGUCUAGCGGCGCACGGGUGCGUAACGCGUGGGAACCUGCCCUUAGGUUCGGAAUAACUCCCCGUAAGGGGUGCUAAUACUGGAUAAUGUCUUCGGACCACAGCAUGAUCGCGUUGGGAUGGGCCCGCGUUGGAUUAGCUAGUUGGUAGGGUAAAAGCCUACCAAGGCGACGAUCCAUAGCUGGUGUGAGAGGAUGAUCAGCCACCCUGAGACUGAGACACGGCCGAGACUCCUACGGGAGGCAGCAGUGGGGAAUAUUGGACAAUGGGGGAAGGCCUGAUCCAGCAAUGCCGCGUGAGUGAUGAAGGCCUUAGGGUUGUAAAGCUCUUUUACCCGGGAUGAUAAUGACAGUACCGGGAGAAUAAGCUCCGGCUAACUCCGUG